rnacentral:rRNA from 1 species
CGCCAGACUCCUACGGGAGGCAGCAGUGGGGAAUAUUGCACAAUGGGGGAAACCCUGAUGCAGCGACGCCGCGUGAGCGAAGAAGUAUUUCGGUAUGUAAAGCUCUAUCAGCAGGGAAGAAAAUGACGGUACCUGAAGAGGAAGCCCCGGCUAACUACGUGCCAGCAGCCGCGGUAAUACGUAGGGGGCAAGCGUUAUCCGGAUUUACUGGGUGUAAAGGGGGCGCAGACGGCGAUGCAAGCCAGGAGUGAAAGCCCGGGGCCCAACCCCGGGACUGCUCUUGGAACUGCGUGGCUGGAGUGCAGGAGGGGCAGGCGGAAUUCCUGGUGUAGCGGUGAAAUGCGUAGAUAUCAGGAGGAACACCGGUGGCGAAGGCGGCCUGCUGGACUGCAACUGACGUUGAGGCCCGAAAGCGUGGGGAGCAAACAGGAUUAGAUACCCCUGUAC